CUUGAACCCGGGAGGCAGAGGUUGCAGUGAGCAGAGAUGGUGCCAUUGCAUUCCAGCCUAGGUGACAAGAGCGAGACUUGGUCUCAAAAACAAAACAAAACAAACAAAAACAUAAAAAAGACUAUGGGACAAUGAUAUUUAUUUGGACACAGGUCUCCAAAUCUACCUCUUCAAAAGAAACGGACACUGUAACAGCCUUGGUGUAACAGCCUUGGUUAAAGACUUAAGGCGUCCCCAACUAAGAGUGGGGCCAUCUCUAAGUUGGCCCCAGUGCCAUCUGCAGACAUUUCUGUCAUCCUCCCAUCCUUGGGGGCUUCUUUCUCCAGCUCCAGUGUGUGCGCAGUAAAGCUUGCAGCUGUACAGCCUCCAAGAAGCAAACCCAGGUCCCACACAGCCACAGUUGUACAGUGACGCCCUUCCCCGUCCCCUUGUUUGAGCUAUGCCCAAGGGACCAGUCUGGACUGCUAUGCCAUCUCACUCCCAACCCAAGCUCCGCCAAACCAUCCCUAUCAUGUGCAGAUUUGGAUGCUAGACCUGCAAGUGAGAGAGUGAGCGGCUCCUUGAAGAUAUUGGCAGUUCAUGGAGAGUUAGCAUGUGUGGAGUUUGGGCUCCAGUGCCUUGUUUUCUAAAGAUGGUGUUUGGUAUAGUUUGGAUACUUGUCCCUGCCCAAAUCUCAUGUUGAAAUGUAAUCCCCAGUGGUGAGGGUGGGGCCUGGUGGGAGGUGACUGGAUCAUAGGGGUGGAGUUCUCAUGAAUGAUUUAGCACUAUCCCCUUGGUGCUGUCCUUGCCAUAGGGAGUGAGUCUUCCUGAGAUCCGGUUGUUUAAAAGGAUAUGGCUCCUCCUCACUCUGUCUCUUGCUCUUGCUCCUGUUCCUUUCAUGUGAUGUGCCUGCUCCCCCUUCACCUUUUGCCAUAAUUGUAAGUUUCCUGAGACCUCCACAGAAGUUGAGCAGAUGCCAGCAUCAUGCUUCCUGUACAGCCUGCAGAACCAUGAGCCAAUUAAACCUCUUUUCUGUAUAAAUUACCCAGUCUCAGGUAUUUCUUUAUAGCAAGGCAAGAACAGCCCAACGCAGUGUGCUAGCACUGU
rnacentral:lncRNA from 1 species